CAGACUGAGGGGAGAAGAACUUGGUGUUUGGACGUGACGUAUGCCUAGGGGCCUGUUGUCGUGGCGCAAGCUUCUAGCCUGUCUUCACUUCUUACCAACAUCUCUACACCUUCCUGGAGCUUCAACCAUGGCUGGCAUUCUUGCUCUUGUGCACCUUCAACAUGCUGAUCGAGCUGAUAAAGCAAGGUUACCAAGGAGACUGGUCAAGGAUCACCAAAACCCUUUUGCUGCCUACUCUGAGGAUGAGUUCAUUCGGAGGUACCGGCUGUCAAAGGAGUGCAUUCACACCCUUCUUGGCCAAGUGGAAGUGCUUUCCUCUAUCCCAAAAUUGUAAUGCAUAUCAGUUCAAUCUUAAACUCUAUUGCAUCUGUCAUUUGAUACAUUGUUAUGUGACUCAAUACAAGAUACAAGUACCAUGUAGGAUGUAAUUAUAUAUUUUCCUGUGAAGGACAAGACAUGAAAGAAAUGUUAUAUAUAAUCAUAUAUGAACCCUCAAAGUGUAGGUCAUGAAAAUAAAUGGAGGUCAAGA